rnacentral:rRNA from 1 species
ACUAACAAGGAUUCCCUCAGUAGCGGCGAGUGAACAGGGACCNGCCCAGCACUGAAUCGCACUGUCCGAUCGACGGGCACGAGCGAGGUGUAGUGUUCGGGAGGAUCUAUUAACCCGGCGCGUCGGGGCGAGUCCAAGUCCUUCUUGAACGGGGCCACUUACCCACAGAGGGUGCCAGGCCCGUAGGACUGCCGCCGCGCGUCGGAGAGGUCUCUCCCUAGAGUCAGGUUGCUUGAGAGUGCAGCCCUAAGCAGGUGGUAAACUCCAUCUAAGGCAAAAUAACACCACGAGACCGAUAGCAAACAAGUACCGUGAGGGAAAGUUGAAAAGAACUUUGAAGAGAGAGUUCAAAAGUACGUGAAACCGUUCAGGGGUAAACCUGAGAAACCCGAGAGUUCGAAACGGGAGAUUCAUCGCGUCUCGCGUCCGCCGGCGGGCGGGCGGCGACGGUCGACCUCGGUCUGCCGCGCCCCCGCCUUCCGCGCGGCCGCGAAUGCGUGCACUUCUCCCGAAGUAAGAACGUCGCGAGCCGUUGAGACACGCCGGCCUACGGCCCGAUGGGUAGCCCCGGAGCGCGAGCGAUCGCGUUCCGGGACCCGCGAGGCCCGGCCCGCGCUCGACGGCACCACAAAGGCACGGAGCCGCGUAACUGUUCGCGCCCGGCCCGUCGCAAGCGCGUCCGAUCACCCGGAACCUCGGAACCGCCCGGUGCCGAUUUCGGAGUCGGACGGCUGCUGGCGGCGGCGCUCUCGGGCAGCCUCCGCACAUGCCGCUCCGCGACGCCAUAGCUAAGGGUACUUCUCAGGANNNNNNNNNNNNNNNNNNNNNNNNNNNNNAGCAUGUACGCGAGUCAUUGGGAAUCACUAAACCCAUUGGCGGAAUGAAUGUAAAGACCGCUUCGCCGCGGCUUGAGGGAGGAUGGGAAUCCCGACGGAGACCCCGCACUCCCGGGGCGUCUCGCGCUCAUCGCGAGCUGAGGCGCACCCAGAGCGCACACGCUGGUACCCGAAAGAUGGUGAACUAUGCCUGGUCAGGACGAAGUCAGGGGAAACCCUGAUGGAGGUCCGUAGCGAUUCUGACGUGCAAAUCGAUCGUCGGAACUGGGUAUAGGGGCGAAAGACUAAUCGAACCAUCUAGUAGCUGGUUCCCUCCGAAGUUUCCCUCAGGAUAGCUGGCGCUCGUUCGGUACGAGUCUCAUCCGGUAAAGCGAAUGAUUAGAGGCAUUGGGGUCGAAACGGCCUCAACCUAUUCUCAAACUUUAAAUGGGUGAGAUCUCCGGCCUGCUCAAAUGUGAGGCCGCGAGAUUCGGAUCAGAG